UACGAAGGGGGCAAGCGUUGUCCGGAAUCAUUGGGCGUAAAGAGCGUGUAGGCGGCUCGAUAAGUCCGCUCUGAAAGCCCGGGGCUCAACCCCGGGAGGCGGGCGGAUACUGUCGGGCUAGAGUCCGGAAGAGGCGAGUGGAAUUCCUGGUGUAGCGGUGAAAUGCGCAGAUAUCAGGAGGAACACCAAUGGCGAAGGCAGCUCGCUGGGACGGUACUGACGCUGAGACGCGAAAGCGUGGGGAGCAAACAGG
rnacentral:rRNA from 1 species